ensembl:lncRNA
CCCAUUUAAGGGCUGACUACCAUUGAAGAACAUUCUCUUUCUGGAGAUUGUUCCUUUUGGAGUUUAUCUGUGAGCCUACAACACAGGUAUGUGUGGUUUUACCCUCUGGAGUGUGGAAACCAAAGCCUAUGAGAAGAGAGGAGAGAAGAGGUGUUCUCAGAUUGACAACCAGUGGCUCUGUGUUACCACUCCCCUAUCCAUUCAUUAUUAUUAUUCUUACUGGAUCCCUUUCACUGUUCGUCAUGAUUAUGUUUUGAGAACCUGGCAAUAUAUGUUAUUUUUAUUGUUUAUAAAUAUAUACAAUGUUUGUUCUGCUGUACAUGAUCAGGUAAACAGUAAAUGUAGUAUGUCAAGAAUAAUAUUGGGAUUAGUUAACUGUACCUUUUUUAAUAUUGUCUUCUCUCUUGGGUACCAAUAUAAAUCUAUGAAUUGUUUCAAACACAAAUAUUUCUACUUCUGUAAGACGUGAGGAGUGACCUCCUUUGCCCCUCUGGUGUCACAACCAGAAAAUGCCUCCCUGAACAAUGCAACCCACAUGACUGUAGCACUUUAAAAGUUUAUUGGUCUUUAGUAUGAAGCCAGUACUGAAAGAAUGACAAAUGUCUUUCAAAGCAUUUAUACAUGCCUGUUGCACACAAAAGAGCUGGCAUUGCUUACUUCAUUUUCAAAGUGGUCUACUUCUCCAGCUCCAAAUGAAUAUUUUUGGUUGAUACUGGGUGCAAGAUGGAGUAGAAUUUGAAACAAAUGGUUUCCCACAAGGAAAAGAAUUGAGAAAUACAGUGAUUAUGAAGGCAACCUCAAAAACAUCUGGGAAAGUCCACACUGGUUAGCUAGUUUUACUUGAAACAUGCUAUUUGCUUUUUUUUUUCCUGAUACAGAAAGUCUGCUUGAACUUUUGUAUUGAGAAUUUGCUUAUUAUUGAUAACAAAUUGAAUCACAGAAAUGUUGGUUGGAAGGGGUGGCUGACUAUCAUCUACUCCAGCUUUCUGCUUAAAGCACAAUUAAAGCCAACCUUAAAUCAAGUUAGUGGUGGCUUUUUGUCCAGCCAAUCCUUGUAAACCUCAGAGGAAGGCCAGUCCACAGCCUCUCUGAGCAGCUGCAAGUGAGAACAGUAGCUAUCAGCCUCAAGAUUUAAAAAGAAAUAAACAAAUGAAAACCCAACAACUUAAAGAACACUUUCAGGAAAUGAGAAAGUCAUCAUCUUUGUUACUACACUGUUCUCUCCACUCCCUGGGAAAUAUUUUUUCAACUUAAAAGCACAGCUUUUCUGGUAUGCCGCCAUUUUUUCACCAACAAAAGAAUGGGGCAGGAGCAUGGCAUAGUUACCACAAUUUUUAUUUAAUAAAGAUCCUCCAUUUCCAGCUGCUGGCCAUGUGUUCUAUUUUUAUGUGCAAACUCAUUCUCAUUUCAAUAAACAGGGAGCACAAAGCACACACUCUUACAAGUCUCUAGGUUUUGCAUUUAAACUACAUGUAAGCCCCUCAGCAUGUGACUUCUGCUUAAAAAUCUGUUGAGUGUGCCCAUGUCAUCUUAUAAUCACUUUUUAAAAAUCAAUCCAACUUUAAAAAACCAAUCAAGUGAUCAAUAGAUUACUUCACUUGAGCAUUAUUGACCAUAGAUAAUCUCUGAUGGUAAGUGAGGAAAUAGAGAUUUACAGAGUAAUAGAUAGAGAAUAACAGAAGUAAUUUGAAG